UUGGACUGUGAUUCUAUCUCAGGUGCUUGG
rnacentral:piRNA from 1 species